rnacentral:rRNA from 1 species
AGUGAACGCUGGCGGUGGGCCUAACACAUGCAAGUCGAACGGCAGCACAGUAAGAGCUUGCUCUUACGGGUGGCGAGUGGCGGACGGGUGAGGAAUACAUCGGAAUCUACUUUUUCGUGGGGGAUAACGUAGGGAAACUUACGCUAAUACCGCAUACGACCUACGGGUGAAAGCAGGGGAUCUUCGGACCUUGCGCGAUUGAAUGAGCCGAUGUCGGAUUAGCUAGUUGGCGGGGUAAAGGCCCACCAAGGCGACGAUCCGUAGCUGGUCUGAGAGGAUGAUCAGCCACACUGGAACUGAGACACGGUCCAGACUCCUACGGGAGGCAGCAGUGGGGAAUAUUGGACAAAGGGCGCAAGCCUGAUCCAGCCAUACCGCGUGGGUGAAGAAGGCCUUCGGGUUGUAAAGCCCUUUUGUUGGGUAAGAAAAGCAGCAGGUUAAUACCCCGCUGUUCUGACGGUACCCAAAGAAUAAGCACCGGCUAACUUCGUG